rnacentral:rRNA from 1 species
GACGAACGCUGGCGGCGUGCUUAGCACAUGCAAGUUGAACGGAAAGGCCCUGCUUUUGUGGGGUGCUCGAGUGGCGAACGGGUGAGUAACACGUGAGUAACCUGCCCUUGACUUUGGGAUAACUUCAGGAAACUGGGGCUAAUACCGGAUAGGAGCUCCUGCUGCAUGGUGGGGGUUGGAAAGUUUCGGCGGUUGGGGAUGGACUCGCGGCUUAUCAGCUUGUUGGUGGGGUAGUGGCUUACCAAGGCUUUGACGGGUAGCCGGCCUGAGAGGGGGACCGGCCACAUUGGGACUGAGAUACGGGCCAGACUCCUACGGGAGGCAGCAGUGGGGAAUAUUGCACAAUGGGCGGAAGCCUGAUGCAGCAACGCCGCGUGCGGGAUGACGGCCUUCGGGUUGUAAACCGCUUUCGCCUGUGACGAAGCGGGAGUGACGGUAAUGGGUAAAGAAGCACCGGCUAACUACGUG